AUUGUGUCCCUCUUCAAAACAAAACUCAGUGCAAAUGCACACCAGGGCAUAUCUGGAGUGUUGCAGUAUGUCAGUCUUCACCUAACUGUUGUAAACUAAAAAACUGCACAUUUGAAACCACAGAAACAAAACCAAUGUGCCUCCCUGAAACAAGAGGUAUUCUGUGUGUGUGUGUGUGUGUGUGUGUGUGUGUGUGUGUGUGUGUGUGUGUGUGUGUGUGUGUGUGUGUAAUCCAAAAUGUGUACAUAAUCAAACAUACCAGUCUGUCAACAGUUUGCAUUUUCACAAGCCAGUUCAAAGACAGAAUGCAAAAGGCCCAGUACACAUUGCAAAUAAUGAUCUCUUUUAUUCACAGUUACUGUCAUUGGACAACUUAACAUAGCUGGAAGGGUAUAUUUUGAAAGUUACAGCAAUCCAAAUUCUAAUGAAUAUAAAACCUUGCAUGAUGAAUUAUUGCCAAAGGUAUUUGUCAAAUUUAUACUGUACAUAUACAAAUGGUUUAAAAUAUGGGAAUGGGUUACUACAAUGUUCUAAUGACACACACAGAAUGCAAACAAUUUUUUCUUUGUUUUAGCUGAAAGCGGUGUACAGUACAUUGAAUUCAUUUGAUGACAUACACAUCACAGGGUUCAGUCGUGGCAGUGUCAUCAUUGCUUUUGAAAUGAACCUCAACGACGUUUCAGCUGAUGUCCUUGCAAGCAAAACAGCAGAAUUGGAAAAAAUACUGAAUUCUACGUUCACGCUAGAGACAGCAGGCGUCGUUGAGAUCACAGUACCAGAAGGCCCGGUAAAAUAUGAUUCUAAACAGACAAUUCUCUGCCAAGCCAAGGAGGACAUGAAACCAAUUGAAUGGGUUUUGAAAAGGAGUGACGGUAAAACAUUUGACGUAACAACAGGCACUGAUGCUACAGUGAUACCCACUAGUAGGAAGACUACAAUUCUCCUCAGACAGGCAACGGAGAUCUGGGAAGGGCUGUACACGUGUGUCUUCAACCCAAAAUCAUCCAAUGUGACCAUAAACCACAAAGCCAGUGCAACACUAGACAUAGCGCUCCUGCCACAAAUUUACAUUAGUAGCACGCCCCAAUUUCCAGACUGUUACACGAAAUAUAAUGCAAAUGAUAGAAUCUUUGUCAGAGUUCAAUGUGAAAUUAUGAAUAGCACUGAAAACUACAAUGUGACAUGGAAUUACACCAACACUGAAACUCCAUUAAAUGAACAAAAAGAUGUUACCGGUACUGGCAUAAUUUACAGGAUUGAUACGACUGUCAGCUGCAGCAGUUUACAAGAGCCAGCUGUAACAUGUACAUUUAUGAACAUCCUGUCCCAAGAGAAAAAUGCUACUGUCAAUAUCCCUGUUAUCUACAGCAAUUCAAAAUUUUGUCAUGCUGAAGGUGACUGGUCAAACGCAAAGGCUAACUUUACGGCGGUGCUGAAGUGUAAAAAUGGUAUUGGAAAAACCCAGAGACGGUGUUUGAGUAAUGGAGUUUGGGAGGAGGAAAUAUCUAACUGUGUGAAUGUAGAUCUACAUGACAUCCUAAUUGAUUCACAGGUAUUAAAACAAAUCAUCCUAAUUGAUUCACAGGUAUUAAAACAUAUCAUCCUAAUUGAUUCACAGGUAUUAAAACAAAUCAUCCUAAUUGAUUCACAGGUAUUAAAACAUAUCAUCCUAAUUGAUUCACAGGUAUUAAAACAAAUCAUCCUAAUUGAUUCACAGGUAUUAAAACAAAUCAUCCUAAUUGAUUCACAGGUAUUAAAACAAAUCAUCCUAAUUGAUUCACAGGUAUUAAAACAAAUCAUCCUAAUUGAUUCAUUGGGUUGAGCGUGCAGAGAUUGACACAGAGACAGGGAGGCUUUAGUCCGAAAAAACUACUUUACUAAGACAGAAAAUUAAUACAUCAAAGAAAUAACUUAGGUUUUGCUCGGUCUUUCUUCUCUCUCUUAACUGGUGUCUGUCUCUCUCCCGCGGUGUGCCAUCGUGCUCCUUUUAUUUAGCCUCCACGGCUUUCCUCUAAUUAAAUCCACUUAGCUGUCCGUCUCGGGCUGCCCAGCUCCCAUAUGCCCAGCAGAGGGAGCCAACGUCGCCUCACGUAUCUCCCCUCUAUUACCAUCCCCCGGGGUAGACCUCCUGGGACACCAACCAAUAUUGAAUUUUAAAAGCACCUUUAAAAUAAUUUUAAAAUCCCUUUAAUAUAAACCAUAUGAAUAAUUCUAUAAAUGAUGGUUUUUAAUAUGCAUAAAACUUGCUAAAGUGACAAAAUUCAGCAUCCCUCCGCACAACCUCUGAGUCUCCUAGGAAGAUCUAAAUAAACAGCUGGGCCUCAAUACGCCAAUGAGCAGCCAUUUUGACUGCAACGUUCUAACAGUAAUAAAUACAUUUCAUAAAUGCCAUCAGAAAAAUGAUUCUUCACUUGUGUUUAUGAAGGUCUUGGGUAACAGAAGAAGAAAAAAAGUAUUUAAAAAAACAAUAGGAUUUUCAUUAGUUAAUGUUACUUACUGUAAGCCAUCUGCUGCAGCAUGCUCAUGUGUAGAGCACAAAGGAACAGCGGUUAUUCUUGGAAAAAGUGAUAUUUUCAAAUAAAGCUAAUCUCUUACAUUUCAAGUGUUAUUUGGCAAAGGUUAGUGAAACCACAAUAUGUUCUGUGAUACUAUACUACUUUAAUAUUGGAAAAAGUAACUUAACAGCUUAUAACAGGAAUUAUGCUUAUGAAAUUAUAAUAAUCAUAAGUGUUAAAUAUACUUAUUUAGGACAAGUCAAGGGCAGAGGGGGACAUUGCAGAGACAUUUCCAUUUUAAAUGAAUUACUAUGCAGUCAAAAUGACUGGGAUCGGAGCUUCUAGUGUUAACCCACUUCACCCCAAAAUGACUGGGAUCGGAGCUUCUAGUGUUAACCCACUUCACCCCAAAAUGACUGGGAUCGGAGCUUCUAGUGUUAACCCACUUCACCCCAAAAUGUCUCAAAAUGUUCACCAUCAUUGUAAAAUUAUUUUGUUGCUUUGACAAAGUGAUUUCUGAAGAUUAUCAUUUAUUUAUUUAUAGAUAAGAAAGGCUAGAAAUGUUUGUUUUUUUGUGAAGAAUUAAAUUGCCAUUCCCUGUUGUCAGAAGUGGAUUGAUUUAUGGCUGAUUUAAGAUGUCAACCCUCUUACUUUAGUUGGCACCUAUUAUGCACUUUCAUAGUCUUUUUUUACGUCUUGAGAUGGGAAAACCUUUUUUUCUGAAGUUGAACAUGUGCUCUUUAUGACCGAAUGUUAAAAUUAGGGGAAAUGAACCAAAAAAAUGGGGGGGGGGGGGGUCGAGUUACACUUCUCAAAAGGCACUGAAUUGGUGGAUCGACCCGUAGACCCAUUCAUUCUAGAAUAAUAUAACUUAAAAUGCCUCAUGAGCUUAGUUCAACUGCUGUACCCACAAUAUAUUAUCUUGUUUUUUUAUUCCAUUGUUGGUAAACAAUGUAUUUGUAAACAAACACUAGCUUCAAAACAUGGUUAAAACUAUCAUUUUGAUCUUAUUCAGAGUGCUUACAUUUUUCCAGCCCCAUCCCUCAGCUGUUUCCCAAAACAAGUGGCGGGGUGGCCGUAUUGUCAUUUAAAUUACUUUUUGUUAUUAUAAAAGGCAUAUAUUCUAAACUGCUCUAAACUGUAGUUUUUGUAUGCAUUUUUUUUCUAUCAUUACAGAACCUUGCAAUAGGACUCGGAUCAGUUGAGAAAAAUUCUGCAAACAUAUUUUCACGUCUGAAAUCUUCCACCGAUAAAUCAGAAUCCAUCAACACUUAUGCUAAUGUGAAUGCUU
rnacentral:lncRNA from 13 species